rnacentral:rRNA from 1 species
GGAUGGCGGCCCGCUACACAUGCUAGUCGAGCGGCAGCGGAAAGUAGCUUGCUACUUUGCCGGCGAGCGGCGGACGGGUGAGUAAUGUCUGGGAAACUGCCUGAUGGAGGGGGAUAACUACUGGAAACGGUAGCUAAUACCGCAUGACCUCGAAAGAGCAAAGUGGGGGAUCUUCGGACCUCACGCCAUCGGAUGUGCCCAGAUGGGAUUAGCUAGUAGGUGAGGUAAUGGCUCACCUAGGCGACGAUCCCUAGCUGGUCUGAGAGGAUGACCAGCCACACUGGAACUGAGACACGGUCCAGACUCCUACGGGAGGCAGCAGUGGGGAAUAUUGCACAAUGGGCGCAAGCCUGAUGCAGCCAUGCCGCGUGUGUGAAGAAGGCCUUAGGGUUGUAAAGCACUUUCAGCGAGGAGGAAGGCAUCAUACUUAAUACGUGUGGUGAUUGACGUUACUCGCAGAAGAAGCACCGGCUAACUCCGUGCCAGCAGCCGCGGUAAUACGGAGGGUGCAAGCGUUAAUCGGAAUUACUGGGCGUAAAGCGCACGCAGGCGGUUUGUUAAGUCAGAUGUGAAAUCCCCGCGCUUAACGUGGGAACUGCAUUUGAAACUGGCAAGCUAGAGUCUUGUAGAGGGGGGUAGAAUUCCAGGUGUAGCGGUGAAAUGCGUAGAGAUCUGGAGGAAUACCGGUGGCGAAGGCGGCCCCCUGGACAAAGACUGACG